AAAAUACUAGUAGAGUCAACAAUACACUGCUUUGUCAAGGCAGAGCCGCGGGUUAAAACCCCGCGUAUUUUA
rnacentral:tRNA from 1 species